UACGAAGGGGGCAAGCGUUGUUCGGAUUUACUGGGCGUAAAGCGUACGUAGGCGGAUGAUUAAGUCAGGGGUGAAAUCCCGAGGCUCAACCUCGGAACUGCCUUUGAUACUGGUCAUCUUGAGUCCGGGAGAGGUGAGUGGAACUCCUAGUGUAGAGGUGAAAUUCGUAGAUAUUAGGAAGAACACCAGUGGCGAAGGCGGCUCACUGGCCCGGAACUGACGCUGAGGUACGAAAGCGUGGGGAGCAAACAGGAUUAGAUACCCUGGUAGUCCACGCCGUAAACGAUGGAUGCUAGCCGUCGGGAAGCUUGCUUCUCGGUGGCGCAGCUAACGCAUUAAGCAUCCCGCCUGGGGAGUACGGUCGCAAGAUUAAA
rnacentral:rRNA from 1 species